AUUGAACGCUGGCGGCAUGCCUUACACAUGCAAGUCGAACGGUAACAGGUCUUCGGAUGCUGACGAGUGGCGAACGGGUGAGUAAUACAUCGGAACGUGCCUAGUAGUGGGGGAUAACUACUCGAAAGAGUGGCUAAUACCGCAUGAGAUCUACGGAUGAAAGCAGGGGAUCGCAAGACCUUGUGCUACUAGAGCGGCCGAGGGCAGAUUAGGUAGUUGGUGGGAUAAAAGCUUACCAAGCCGACGAUCUGUAGCUGGUCUGAGAGGACGAUCAGCCACACUGGGACUGAGACACGGCCCAGACUCCUACGGGAGGCAGCAGUGGGGAAUUUUGGACAAUGGGCGCAAGCCUGAUCCAGCAAUGCCGCGUGCAGGAUGAAGGCCUUCGGGUUGUAAACUGCUUUUGUACGGAACGAAAAGCCCCGGGUUAAUACCCUGGGGUCAUGACGGUACCGUAAGAAGAAGCCCCGGCUAACUUCGUGCCAGCAGCCGCCGCCG
rnacentral:rRNA from 1 species